UACCGGGCCUUCGUGGAUAAAAUGUACGAUCCCUGCUUUAAGGGUUAUUCCAUAGGAACAAUCCAGAAAACUCUUAAGCGUUUUUACAUCUGACAUUUGUUUUCUAAGAGUCUAUGCCUACAGCUUUAUUGCGUGUAUUUAUUUUCAUAUAUUUCAGCUUUGGUACAGAAUGGGAAGAUUCCGAAGACAGUGCUAGUGCUUCACUUCAGGACAUUUAUCAGGUGUGUGAUGAUCCAUAGAAAAAUCAGAAGUGUGGCUGCAGGAAUACGGCUAGACCGGAAUCUCCAGUACUAUUCUAUACUCUAAAC
ensembl:lncRNA